rnacentral:misc_RNA from 1 species
ACCACCUAUAUAAAACUUGUUUCAGGAAAAAACAGAGCAUUUGGUCAAAUUUUACAAAGAUUGAGAGCUUGGCUAGUGAUCCAAAUCCUUUCCUUAUUCAACCCACUAAUCAAGAACACCAACCCCAUUCUAGUUCAGAAAAGGACCAACGCAAGGAUCUUACUUACAAAGUAAUUUUUGGAGUUUUUCCUUAUCCAAAGUUGUCUUGCAAGACAAUAUGAUUUCACAUUGAGCUCCAAACAAUCGCUGGCGUUUUAACCAAAACAACUUAUUGCGCAAUUCAUGCGUUUCUGCUUUCAUGACUACAAAUUUCUUCUUAAUUUCCAUGAAAAAUUGUUCUCUGGACUUUUUAUCAAUAUGAGGUGAUCGUAACACAGUAUACAAGACUCGUGAUUGAGGCAAUCCAAUCUUCGACGCACCUGGAGUAUUAAAAUAGGCAUCUUCUGAUUCACUGCUUUUUCCACCAGCUUGUGAAAAAAUACUUCGCUUCACCAUAGAGAACUCUGAACAACAAACUUGACUCAAUCCCCGGAAGUUGAGAGGAUUGGAAGCUGGACGAAUAGCCCACAUAGUGAAUAGCUGGUUUCAAUGAAGAGAGAGAUUUGUAAGGAGAAGAAAAACAAAGAAGAGGAGGAAACAAAUUCUCAGUUGAUAGAUAUGAGAUGGACUUUG